GAUGAGAUGCCUGAGUAAAGGGUUAUUGUGAUAGAAUAAAUAAUGCAAAAAUAAAUUGCUCUCAUUA
rnacentral:tRNA from 1 species